rnacentral:rRNA from 1 species
GGGCCCGCACAAGCGGUGGAGUAUGUGGUUUAAUUCGACGCAACGCGAAGAACCUUACCAAGCCUUGACAUUGAUUGCCAGGGACAGAGAUGUCCCGUUCCUCUUCGGAGGACAAGAAAACAGGUGGUGCACGGCUGUCGUCAGCUCGUGUCGUGAGAUGUUGGGUUAAGUCCCGCAACGAGCGCAACCCCUAUCUUCUGUUACCAGCGGUUCGGCCGGGGACUCAGGAGAGACUGCCGCAGACAAUGCGGAGGAAGGCGGGGAUGACGUCAAGUCAUCAUGCCCCUUAUGGCUUGGGCUACACACGUACUACAAUGGCUCUUAAUAGAGGGAGGCGAAGGAGCAAUCCGGAGCAAACCCCAAAAACAGAGUCCCAGUUCGGAUUGCAGGCUGCAACCCGCCUGCAUGAAGCAGGAAUCGCUAGUAAUCGCAGGUCAGCAUACUGCGGUGAAUACGUUCCCGGGCCUU